UACGGAAGGCAGCAGUGGGGAAUAUUGCACAAUGGGCGAAAGCCUGAUGCAGCUAUGCCGCGUGUAUGAAGAAGGCCUUAGGGUUGUAAAGUACUUUCAUCGGGGAGGAAAAAACAAAACUAAUAAUUUUAUUUCUUGACGUUACCCGAAAAAGAAGCACCGGCUAACUCCGUGCCAGCAGCCGCGGUAAUACGGAGGGUGCUAGCGUUAAUCAGAAUUACUGGGCGUAAAGAGCACGUAGGUGGUUUUUUAAGUCAGAUGUGAAAUCCCUGGGCUUAACCUAGGAACUGCAUUUUGAAACUGAAAUACUAGAGUAUCGUAGAGGGAGGUAGAAUUCUAGGUGUAGCGGUGAAAUGCGUAGAUAUCUGGAGGAAUACCUGUGGCGAAAGCGGCCUCCUAAACGAAUACUGACACUGAGGUGCGAAAGCGUGGGGAGCAAACAGGGAUUAGAUAC
rnacentral:rRNA from 1 species